UUUUUUUUUGCAAGUCACUUUUCAAUCAUUUCCGAUUUGUAUGAUUUAUUCAUGAUGACCACGACCGCCGCUUCAAUCAUUGGUCCUCCCAUUUCAAUUUUUUUUUUCUCCUCUAUUCCUUUUCAUUCAAAUAUAUAUAUUUUUAAAACACAGUUUUGAAAAUAGACAAAUACUCCUACAAAAAAAAAAAAGUCAAGAGAAACGUUAAAAACGCAGAUUGAAAAAAAACACAUAGAAAAACGCGAAACGCAGAACGUGGAAAUGCGAGUUUUGAAAAAGGGAAAGAAGAAGAAGCAAAAAAAAAAAAAAUUAAAAAAAAAUGGUAUGGUCGAUACAGCUGGCUUAUGACCCCUCCUCCUCCUCCUCCUCCUCCUCCUCCUCCUCGGCUCCUCCUACCUUUUUUUUUCACUCUGUCGAUGUUUUUAGUAUUGUGGUCCUGUCCUACUACUCACUCCUACAUUUUUAUUUUAU
rnacentral:lncRNA from 1 species